rnacentral:rRNA from 1 species
GACGAACGCUGGCGGCGUGCUUAACACAUGCAAGUCGGACGGAAAGGCCCUGCUUUUGUGGGGUGCUCGAGUGGUGAACGGGUGAGUAACACGUGAGUAACCUGCCCUUGACUUUGGGAUAACUUCAGGAAACUGGGGCUAAUACCGGAUAGGAGCUCCUGCUGCAUGGUGGGGGUUGGAAAGUUUCGGCGGUUGGGGAUGGACUCGCGGCUUAUCAGCUUGUUGGUGGGGUAGUGGCUUACCAAGGCUUUGACGGGUAGCCGGCCUGAGAGGGUGACCGGCCACAUUGGGACUGAGAUACGGCCCAGACUCCUACGGGAGGCAGCAGUGGGGAAUAUUGCACAAUGGGCGGAAGCCUGAUGCAGCAACGCCGCGUGCGGGAUGACGGCCUUCGGGUUGUAAACCGCUUUCGCCUGUGACGAAGCGUGAGUGACGGUAAUGGGUAAAGAAGCACCGGCUAACUACGUG